rnacentral:rRNA from 1 species
GUGCCAGCAGCUGCGGUAAUACGGAGGGGGUUAGCGUUGUUCGGAAUUACUGGGCGUAAAGCGCGCGUAGGCGGACAUUUAAGUCAGGGGUGAAAUCCUGCGGCUCAACCGCAGAACUGCCUUUGAUCUGGGUGUCUUGAGGUCGAGAGAGGUGAGUGGAAUUCCGAGUGUAGAGGUGAAAUUCGUAGAUAUUCGGAGGAACACCAGUGGCGAAGGCGGCUCACUGGCUCGAUACUGACGCUGAGGUGCGAAAGCGUGGGAGCAACAGGAUUAGAUACCCUGGUAGUCCACGCCGUAAACGAU